GUCUUCGCCAAGGCUAGGCGAGUUAUGAGAAUGAUGUGAGAUGGAAUUGAAGGUGAGCAAACAAUUGAAGCUUGUUAAAAAUGUAUGUACAGUGUGGCCCUCUAGCUAUAAAGUGAGGUGGAAAGCUAAGAUUACUUUCCUGACCAUUGAGGACUAUGAGAAUAUGAGUACAUCCAACAGAAACACAUUUUCAAGUCUGCCUACUUGGUGAGUGCAACGUCAACAGUGUCGCCAUUGUCUGACACCCUCAACACUGGCUGGAUGCGCUCAAUGUAGAAUUAUGUCAAUAAGCAGUCUGUCGUUGAUGGCCCACAUGAAUCGGCUCCUAAUAGCACGGAACCUGGACAACAACUGUUAAGUGGUUUGGUGUUAAGAGUGAGUACAAUGUUCUUGUUAUGUUCGUGUUGGGACCAAGCCUGGAACAUUUUUUCUGCUCUUGCAACAGAAAACUGUCGCUCAAAACUGUGGUUAUGCAAAUGGUGCUACUCUCGUUGAAAAUUAUUGGACUCGAAGAAUUUGAAAUGACUUUACCUGAUGAACCUGACGAAAGAGAGGGAUUAGUUUUCUCAAAUUUGUUGCACCUGACACUACCAAAAGCGCAUUUCAGAAUGGUGUCUUCAGCCUAUGCUCCCUUGGGGCGAGACGCCAUUCCAGCUCGUGUGUAUAAAGAUCCAGGAGAUAAAAGUGUUCCGCUGCUGACCAAGCUUGAUCCUUUUGACCACAUGUUAACCCAUAUGAGUAUGUGAUCUACUAAAUAACACCGAGACAGUCCUAGGCAUGAGUGAAAUCAAGAAUUGCCUCUAUGGAGCCCACCCCGGGAGAGGUGGAGGCCUGCGGAUCGAGCUGGAUGGGGUGGCCGCCGUGGCGCGCGGGCGAAGAAGGAAAUGUUGUGGCACGUCCCUGAAGAGGGCAUCGGCGGUGGCACGCCAAUCGAGUCCACCACAUCCUGGGCCUCAAGAUCUUCUCCGGCUGUGGCGAUAGGAACCGCUUGCCGCCGUCGUCAAGGAAGCUGCACAAUAUGAUGGUGGUGGAUCCCGCAAGACCAGGGGAGUUUCCAUGAAAAGAAACGUGGUCAAUGGCUCUAGGGUGAUGUGGACCUCCAGGACAAGGUAACGAGCAAAUGCUUCUUCGAGGCUGAGAUCGGCGGGGAGAGCGUGGGCGAGGUGGUCAUCAAACUCUUCGGCGAGGUCGUCCGAAAGACGGUUGACAACUUCCGUGCCCUGUGCACUGGUAUAGCAGGCUAAUCAAUACUAUGCAAAUUAGCGCUCUGUUUUGGUUGGGAAGGAGACAAAGGGUACGUAUACAAGGGCCGCUUCUUCCACCGAAUCAUCAAGGAUUUCAUGAUUAAGGGUGGGGAUUUCCAGGAAAACAAUGUCUGAAGAGCAUUAGUGUCCUCUGUUCAGCUUUUUCUCUUCGUCUAUUCGGCAGCCGCUGUUGGUGGAUGACGGCAGCCUCAGGUGGUGCAUGGUGGUGCCUGCCACAUUGCCUUGGGUCCUUAUGAAAAACAAACACAUAAUAUUGCUUUGGGUCCUGUUAUAGCAACAUUUUUGUUAUGGCCAAAACAUACCAUUUCUUUGUUACAAGAUUUGUUCCUUUUCUUCCUCAGGAAGUCUGGGUUAGUAAAUGUAUAUCAUCUGAGUCACACUGGUCUGUGCGCCAUCAGCAACUUUAGAGUGGCACUCUUUUCGGAUUAGGGGUUUAUUCCAGGCUCAUUACACUCAGAGGAUAUAUCAACUACUCUUCUUAACACCAGGAGGAAUGAUGUCGCUUGCCAUGAAGUCGAAAACAACAACUAGGCCAAGUGUGUAGUAGUUGAUGGUGGAGAUUUGAAAUAUUGUUCGUGAAGGAUGCUGAUGUUAUCGCUAAACUCAAGGACUUCCUGAAAAAUAAUGUUUCUAUCAUCUAUGGAUGUCCUGAGUAUCUAUAAUGGGAUCUUACUCAAUACUUAAUUUGUUAUUCCUCUAUAUCCAGAUGCUAAUUGGAUAUACAUUUCACUCCAAAAAUUGAGAGGGCUGAUUCAAUUCCAAACCCACAGUCAAUUAUUCCAAACCCACUGAUGCCCUGUACUGUCAUGUGCAUGUCGGCUCUCAAAAGUACCAGCAACAUUUGAGAGCAUCAAGAGGAGAGUCGUCGGUGGUGAGCGUUGAGACGCUCCAUGCUUCUGACUACACCUCUUUGUUAUGGUAACCAGCGUGUUCAUAUAGUAUUUUCCUUUCCACCUCCAUCAGUAGUUGAAAAUUACAAGUUAGUGUUGAGAUCUUUCAAAUAUUAUUAGGAUACAAGGUAUGC